GAUGAACGCUGGCGGCGUGCCUAAUACAUGCAAGUCGAGCGAACAGACGAGGAGCUUGCUCCUCUGACGUUAGCGGCGGACGGGUGAGUAACACGUGGAUAACCUACCUAUAAGACUGGGAUAACUUCGGGAAACCGGAGCUAAUACCGGAUAAUAUAUUGAACCGCAUGGUUCAAUAGUGAAAGACGGUUUUGCUGUCAAUUAUAGAUGGAUCCGCGCCGCAUUAGCUAGUUGGUAAGGUAACGGCUUACCAAGGCAACGAUGCGUAGCCGACCUGAGAGGGUGAUCGUCCACACUGGAACUAAGACACGGUCCAGACUCCUACGGGAGGCAGCAGUAGGGAAUCUUCCGCAAUGGGCGAAAGCCUGACGGAGCAACGCCGAGUGAGUGAUGAAGGUCUUCGGAUCGUAAAACUCUGUUAUUAGGGAAGAACAAAUGUGUAAGUAACUAUGCACGUCUUGACGGUACCUAAUCAGAAAGCCACGGCUAACUACGUG
rnacentral:rRNA from 1 species